rnacentral:rRNA from 1 species
GAUGAACGCUAGCGGCAGGCCUAAUACAUGCAAGUCGAACGGUGUCUUCGGACAUAGUGGCGCACGGGUGCGUAACACGUAUGCAACCUACCUUACAUUGGGGGAUAGCCUUUCGAAAGGGAGAUUAAUACCGCAUAAGACAGUAGCUGGGCAUCCAGCAGCUGUUAAAGAUUUAUCGAUGUAAGCUGGGCAUGCGUCCAAUUAGGUAGUUGGUGAGGUAACGGCUCACCAAGGCAAUGAUUGGUAGGGGAACUGAGAGGUCAAUCCCCCACAAUGGCACGGAGAUACGGGCCAGACUCCUCCGGGAGGCAGCAGUAGGGAAUAUUGGGCAAUGGACGGAAGUCUGACCCAGCCAUGCCGCGUGCAGGAUGAAGGCGUUAUUCGUUGUAAACUGCUUUUAUACAGGAAGAAACGACUCUUGCGAGAGGCAUUGACGGUACUGUAUGAAUAAGCACCGGCUAACUCCGUGCCAGCCGCCGCCGUAAUAC